rnacentral:rRNA from 1 species
GAUGAACGCUGGCGGCGUGCCUAAUACAUGCAAGUCGAGCGAACGGACGAGAAGCUUGCUUCUCUGAUGUUAGCGGCGAACGGGUGAGUAACACGUGGAUAACCUACCUAUAAGACUGGGAUAACUUCGGGAAACCGGAGCUAAUACCGCAUAACAUUUUGAACCACAUGGUUCAAAAGUGAAAGACGGUCUUGCUGUCACUUAUAGAUGGAUCCGCGCUGCAUUAGCUAGUUGGCAAGGUAACGGCUUACCAAGGCAACGAUGAAUAGCCGACCUGAGAGGGGGAUCGGCAACACUGGAACUGGGAAACGGUCCAGACUCCUACGGGAGGCAGCAGUAGGGAAUCUUCGGCAAUGGGCGAAAGCCUGACGGAGCAACGCCGCGUGGUUGAGGAAGGUCUUCGGAUCGUAAAACUCUGUGAUUAGGGAAGAACAUAUGUGUAAGUAACUGUGCACAUCGUGACGGUACCUUAUCAGAAAGCCACGGCUAACUACGUG